GACGAACGCUGGCGGCGUGCUUAACACAUGCAAGUCGAACGAAGAGCGAUGGAAGCUUGCUUCUAUCAAUCUUAGUGGCGAACGGGUGAGUAACGCGUAAUCAACCUGCCCUUCAGAGGGGGACAACAGUUGGAAACGACUGCUAAUACCGCAUACGAUCUAACCUCGGCAUCGAGGAUGGAUGAAAGGUGGCCUCUAUUUAUAAGCUAUCACUGAAGGAGGGGAUUGCGUCUGAUUAGCUAGUUGGAGGGGUAACGGCCCACCAAGGCGAUGAUCAGUAGCCGGUCUGAGAGGAUGAACGGCCACAUUGGGACUGAGACACGGCCCAGACUCCUACGGGAGGCAGCAGUGGGGAAUCUUCCGCAAUGGACGAAAGUCUGACGGAGCAACGCCGCGUGAGUGAUGACGGCCUUCGGGUUGUAAAGCUCUGUUAAUCGGGACGAAAGGCCUUCUUGCGAAUAGUUAGA
rnacentral:rRNA from 1 species